rnacentral:rRNA from 1 species
GACGAACGCUGGCGGCGUGCCUAAUACAUGCAAGUAGAACGCACAGUUUAUACCGUAGCUUGCUACACCAUAGACUGUGAGUUGCGAACGGGUGAGUAACGCGUAGGUAACCUGCCUAGUAGCGGGGGAUAACUAUUGGAAACGAUAGCUAAUACCGCAUAAUAUUAAUUAUUGCAUGAUAAUUAAUUGAAAGUUGCAAUUGCACCACUACCAGAUGGACCUGCGUUGUAUUAGCUAGUAGGUGAGGUAACGGCUCACCUAGGCGACGAUACAUAGCCGACCUGAGAGGGUGAUCUGCCACACUGGGACUGAGACACGGCCCAGACUCCUACGGGAGGGAGACGUAGGGAAUCUUCGGCAAUGGAAGAAAGUCUGAACGAGCAACGCCGCGUGAGUGAAGAAGGUUUUCGGAUCGUAAAGCUCUGUUGUAAGGGAAGAACGGGUGUGAGAGUGGAAAGUUCACACUGUGACGGUAUCUUACCAGAAAGGGACGGCUAACUACGUG